GACGAACGCUGGCGGCGUGCUUAACACAUGCAAGUCGAACGGAAAGGCCCUGCUUUUGUGGGGUGCUCGAGUGGCGAACGGGUGAGUAACACGUGAGUAACCUGCCCUUGACUUUGGGAUAACUUCAGGAAACUGGGGCUAAUACCGGAUAGGAGCUCCUGCUGCAUGGUGGGGGUUGGAAAGUUUCGGCGGUUGGGGAUGGACUCGCGGCUUAUCAGCUUGUUGGUGGGGUAGUGGCUUACCAAGGCUUUGACGGGUAGCCGGCCUGAGAGGGUGACCGGCCACACUGGGACUGAGAUACGGCCCAGACUCCUACGGGAGGCAGCAGUGGGGAAUAUUGCACAAUGGGCGGAAGCCUGAUGCAGCAACGCCGCGUGCGGGAUGACGGCCUUCGGGUUGUAAACCGCUUUCGCCUGUGACGAAGCGUGAGUGACGGUAAUGGGUAAAGAAGCACCGGCUAACUACGU
rnacentral:rRNA from 1 species